rnacentral:rRNA from 1 species
CCGCAAGGUUAAAACUCAAAUGAAUUGACGGGGGCCCGCACAAGCGGUGGAGCAUGUGGUUUAAUUCGAUGCAACGCGAAGAACCUUACCUGGUCUUGGACAUCCACAGGAACUUACCAGAGAUGCAUUGGUGCCUUCGGGAACUGUGAGACAGGUGCUGCAUGGCUGUCGUCAGCUCGUGUUGGGAAAUGUUGGGUUAAGUCCCGCAACGAGCGCAACCCUUAUCCUUUGUUGCCAGCGGUGCCGGCCGGGAACUCAAAGCAGACUGCCAGUGAUAAACUGGAGGAAGGUGGUGAUGACGUCUAGUCAUCAUGAACCCUU